AUCUACAUUCAGAUCACCCUGAAUAUGCCUGAUCUCAUCUGCUCUCUGAAGUUAAGCAGGGUCAGGCUUGGUUAGUAUUUGGAUGGAUGAAAAAAUUUUAAGUAACUCUUAGAUU
rnacentral:rRNA from 1 species